CCUACGGGAGGCAGCAGUGGGGAAUUGUUCGCAAUGGGCGCAAGCCUGACGACGCAACGCCGCGUGGAGGAUGAAGACCUUCGGGUCGUAAACUCCUUUCGAUCGAGACGAACGGCUUCCGGGUGAACAAUCCGGAAGAGUGACGGUACCGAGAGAAGAAGCCCCGGCUAACUCCGUGCCAGCAGCCGCGGUAAUACGGGGGGGGCAAGCGUUGUUCGGAAUUACUGGGCGUAAAGGGCUCGUAGGCGGCCAACUAAGUCAGACGUGAAAUCCCUCGGCUUAACCGGGGAACUGCGUCUGAUACUGGAUGGCUUGAGGUUGGGAGAGGGAUGCGGAAUUCCAGGUGUAGCGGUGAAAUGCGUAGAUAUCUGGAGGAACACCGGUGGCGAAGGCGGCAUCCUGGACCAAUUCUGACGCUGAGGAGCGAAAGCCAGGGGAGCAAACGGGAUUAGAUACCCCGGUAGUCCUGGCCCUAAACGAUGAAUGCUUGGUGUGGCGGGUAUCGAUCCCUGCCGUGCCGAAGCUAACGCAUUAAGCAUUCCUCCUGGGGAGUACGGUCGCAAGGCUGAAACUCAAAUGAAUUGACGG
rnacentral:rRNA from 1 species